rnacentral:rRNA from 1 species
AUGAGCAGGAAGGCGGUGGAGCUGCACUGGGGCAAGAACCACCCGCUGUAUGGCCACACCCUCGAGGACCUCAUCAAGGAGGCUUACAACAACAGCAACCCGCUAUCCGAGAGCAACGAUGCGACCGAGGAAUCGAUGCAGCCGGAAGGCGGUGGCUCUCCCGAGGCAGGUGCGCUGCAGCAGAUCGAGAAGGAUUUCGGCUCCUUUAAAUUUAGGGAGGAGUUCAUGCGCUCGGCAUUGUCAUUGUUGGGGUCCGGUUGGAUUUGGCUUGUCUUGAAGAGAAGCGAGAGGAAACUCAUAGUGGUUCAGGCACAAAAUGCUAUCAACCCACUUGACUUGCUUGACGUUUGGGCACAUUCAUAUACUUGCCCGCAACUCUUACGACAAGAUGAGAAAAUUGACGUCAAUGAAAUAAUCUAA